rnacentral:rRNA from 1 species
UAGGGAAUAGCCCAGAGAAAUUUGGAUUAAUCCCCUAUAAUAUCAAAAAUUCGCAUGAUUUUUUGAUUAAAGUUUCGACGGUAAAAGAUGAGCAUGCGUCCUAUUAGUUUGUAGGUGAGGUAAUGGCUCACCUAGACUACGAUAGGUAGGGGCCCUGAGAGGGGGAUCCCCCACACUGGUACUGAGACACGGACCAGACU